GGGUGUGUAGCUCAGUGGUUAGAGCAGUCGGCUCAUAACCGAUUGGUCGCUGGUUCGAACCCAGCCACGCCCA
rnacentral:tRNA from 1 species